rnacentral:rRNA from 1 species
UACGUAGGUGGCAAGCGUUUGUCCGGAUUUACUGGGCGUAAAGAGCGCGCAGGCGGUCGGAUAAGUCGAAUGUGAAAGCCCCCGGCUCAACUGGGGAGGGUCAUUCGAUACUGUUCGACUCGAAGGCAGGAGAGGGAAGUGGAAUUCCCGGUGUAGUGGUGAAAUGCGUAGAUAUCGGGAGGAACACCAGUGGCGAAGGCGACUUCCUGGCCUGUUCUUGACGCUGAGGCGCGAAAAGCUAGGGGGAGCAAACGGG